UUCUGCCACCUUCUCUACUCGGCGAUCAGCAUUUGGCUUUUUCCAUUUGUGGCAGAUUACUGUAACGCUAUUGUACAACAACUUCCUGCCUCUUUUGGCUCUGGUUCUACAAACUGCAAAAGCAGAGCUUGUGGCUUCAACUUUUUCCCCUCGGCCUUUAACUAAAGGAGCUCUAGAAGGAAAGAAAAUGAGGAACGAGAUAUAUAAAGUGUGUCUGUUGCUGAGGAACUAUUUUGAUUGCAUUUCUGCUUUAUAAACUGCUGAGAAUUAAAGAGGGCAAGAGGGGACUACAUGCCUAACAGAGACAAUAAGAGAAACAAAAGGAUUCAAAAAGAAGAAGAGGAGGAAGGGAGACACAGAGAGAAAGGAGAAAGGGAAAGUUCCUCCUGGGAACAAGCUGGAAAUUAUGGACCUAUUCGAUAUCAGACCUCAGAGUGGACAACCUAUCCAAAGAGGGACGCGCCCUAACUGUAACUAACAACUACUUCUGGCAGCCCUUCAACAGCCAAACAUAUUGUCCUGGAUCAGGGCAGCUUUCCUAUGGCAGCAUCGAACUAGGGCAGCUCAGGCAAGAAAUCACAUCAAACUACAGUAUCAAUAAUGGCAUUAAAAAGUUGAUGACGAUGCAUUAAAAGUAAAUUAAUGUGUUAUAAUGAGGUAUAGAUUUAGCUGUAAACCACGAUACCUUCAAGAUUUUGCUCAUCAUAUUUAAACAUGUUAAGGUGAUUCAGACUAAAAUAGAUUAACAUUUGACAUUUGUGACAUUUCUACACCUUGAGCUAUCUGAGACAAAAAGGGGAAUACUCCUGACAGUUAGCACAGAUUUAUGAUUUAUUAAAUAUUAUCUAUCCUAUUAUUAUGUGUUACAUACAUGGUUACAAUUAGUUUGUUCAUCCUGUGAUGUAACAAGACCAUAAUUAAACUCUGAUACAUGGUACACCGAUUUAACCAUAUAUCAGAGUCUGAAGAGCUACAUUUUCAUUUGACCCUAUCUGACAAAACUAUAUCAUAACAGAAGUAAGCACAAAUAUGUUUGCAUUAACAUGUGAGAUGACAUUAAUUAUAAUAUAAAAUAAUGAUAUUAAAAUAUACUAAAAUGUACUUCAGAUUAAUUGAAGAACCCAUUUAAAAGUUAUUUAUCAAAUUGUAAUACCCAUGUUAUUAUGAUCAUUAUGAGGUAAUAUAUAAUUAAUAAUAAUAAUGGGUAUUAAGUGGUGUUACCCAAACUGCACUGUAAAAGCAAUGAUCUAAGGCACUACAUUACCUGAGCUACUGGGACAAAUUCUCAAAAGUCAAUGAGGCGCAAUAAUAAAAAAGCUAAUUCUC